rnacentral:rRNA from 1 species
GACGAACGCUGGCGGCGUGCUUAACACAUGCAAGUCGAACGGAAAGGCCCUGCUUUUGCUGGGUGCUCGAGUGGCGAACGGGUGAGUAACACGCGAGUAACCUGCCCUUGACUUUGGGAUAACUUCAGGAAACUGGGGCUAAUACCGGAUAGGAGCUCCUGCUGCAUGGUGGGGGUUGGAAAGUUUCGGUGGUUGGGGAUGGACUCGCGGCUUAUCAGCUUGUUGGUGGGGUAGUGGCUUACCAAGGCUUUGACGGGUAGCCGGCCUGAGAGGGUGACCGGCCACAAUGGGACUGAGAUACGGCCCAGACGCCUACGGGAGGCAGCAGUGGGGAGUAUUGCACAAUGGGCGGAAGCCUGAGGCAACAACGCCGCGUGCGGGAUGACGGCCUUCGAGUUAUAAACCGCUUUCGCCUGUGACAAAGCGUGAGUGACGGUAAUGGGUAAAGAAGCACCGGCUAACUACGUG